GGAGUUAGCCGGUGCUUCUUCUGUGAGUGAUGUCCUUCCUGCCGGCUAUUAACCCGCAGGCCUUCUUCCUCACUGAAAGUGCUUUACAACCCGAAGGCCUUCUUCACACACGCGGCAUGGCUGGAUCAGGGUUGCCCCCAUUGUCCAAUAUUCCCCACUGCUGCCUCCCGUAGGAGUCUGGGCCGUGUCUCAGUCCCAGUGUGGCUGAUCAUCCUCUCAGACCAGCUACGGAUCGUCGCCUUGGUGAGCCGUUACCUCACCAACCAGCUAAUCCGACAUAGGCUCAUCCGAUAGCGCGAGGCCCGAAGGUCCCCCGCUUUCCCCCGUAGGGCGUAUGCGGUAUUAGCCUGGGUUUCCCCAGGUUAUCCCCCACUACCGGGCAGAUUCCUAUGCAUUACUCACCCGUCCGCCGCUCGCCACCAGGGAGCAAGCUCCCCGUGCUGCCGCUCGACUUGCAUGUGUUAGGCCUGUCGCCAGCGUUCAAUCUGAACCAAGAUCAAAUUCUGA
rnacentral:rRNA from 1 species